GAGGCAGGAGAAUUGCUUGAACCCAGGAGGUGGAGGUUGCAGUGAGCCGAGAUCUCGCCACUGCACUCCAGCCUGGGUGACAGAGCGAGACUCCAUCU
rnacentral:miRNA from 1 species